rnacentral:rRNA from 1 species
AAUCAACGCUGGCGGCGUGCCUAACACAUGCAAGUCGAACGAGAAAGUGGAGCAAUCCAUGAGUACAGUGGCGAACGGGUGAGUAACACGUGACUAACCUACCUUCCAGUGGGGGAUAACCUCGGGAAACCGGGGCUAAGACCGCAUAACCUCGUGAGGUGAGAUUCCUUGCGAGCAAAGGGGUAAGACGCUGGAUGAGGGGGUCGCGGCCGAUUAGCUAGUUGGCGGGGUAACGGCCCACCAAGGCGAUGAUCGGUAGCCGGCCUGAGAGGGCGCCCGGCCACACUGGAACUGAAACACGGUCCAGCCCCCUACGGGAGGCAGCAGUGGGGAAUUUUGCACAAUGGGGGAAACCCUGAUGCAGCAACGCCGCGUGGAGGAUGAAGUCCCUUGGGACGUAAACUCCUUUCGACCGGGACGAUAAUGACGGUACCGGUGGAAGAAGCCCCGGCUAACUCCGUGCCAGCCGCCGCGGUAA